rnacentral:tRNA from 1 species
GCCCUGAUAGCUCAGUCCGGCCAGAGCAUCUGCCUUGUAAGCAGAGGUCGCCGGUUCGAAUCCGGCUUGGGGCU